rnacentral:sRNA from 2 species
UUGCAUUUGAAGCCCAUGAGGAUGAGAACCUCCGGGGGCGGGGAGGUUCGACUCGAGCGAAGCGAGAGAACGUUGCGCCAGCAACGGCCCGCAGGGCGAGCCACGAA